GGGUUGCGCAUGGAUCGGAGGCACAAUUUAAUGGCUGAUGUCAUAGUUGGUGGGGAUUGGAUGGCCCAGAUCGAAUCUGGAUGUGAUCUGGGCACAGUUUGCACAAUUGGAUGGUUCUGGUUUGAGCCGGUCAUGAUCGAAUGGUUAGAAUUAAUUUUGGACUUUGAUUUGGACUCGAUCUCCUAGUGAAACACUAUUUUAGGAGUUUUGAAGGCUAUAUAACUCCGAUUGAUGAGCCAUUUGUUGCGUGGGAUAGCUGGUGACAUCUUAGUCAUAUAAAGAGGCUUCUUAAGAGAUUUUAAAGAGCU
rnacentral:lncRNA from 1 species